GCAUUCAGCUGAUUUCUGUAACUGAGGGCCUGUCAUCUCUAGCAAUGUCUCUUUAGGUGCCUACAGAGAGCUUUGACUGCUGUUCUAGGUGUAAAGGAACCCUGGAGUUUCCCCAUCAAAGAACGAGUUCUAUUUGCAGGUUAAUUUCUUCUGGGGAGUGUAGCUGUAUUUUUAUAUGUAAACUCAAUGAACAUGGUUUCUUGCCUGUAAGAAGUCAAAUGUGGGUUUUCAUUCGCAGAGCCACAAGCAUUUUGUGACACUGAGUCUUUAGCCUCUGCUGGUUGGUGAGAACUCUUGUAGGAGCUGACCAGGAGCAAGAAGUGAGACGGAAGUUCUGAGCAGAGCCAAGGAUGGGAAGAAGUCUGAAUCCUAAAACUGCCCAUGGUGGCUCUGCUAACAGAAUGUAAUCAUCUGGGGAUAGCUGGUUGAGAAGACAAAGAUCCCAGUCAAAUAAUUUAUAUGCUUUCAUCUGCCAAGUGUGUUACUGUAUGACCUAUUAAAUACAUAACUCUGCAAUGAGCUGACAGAAUGUUUUUUGGGGAGAGAAUGUACUUUUCACUGGGUUUUCCUGGACAGUAAUCCUUUCUGUCAACCUCUCUCUACUGACACUCAAGACAUUUUGAACUUCUUGGCUACUUUUGAUUAAAUUUGACAGAGCAGAAAGAGUUC
rnacentral:lncRNA from 1 species